rnacentral:rRNA from 1 species
CUUCGGAUGGAUAGAAGAACCCCUGAUGCCGUCGAGCCAAGAAAAGUUUCUAAGUUUAGCUAAUGUUGCCCGUACCGUAAACCGACACAGGUGGGUGGGAUGAGUAUUCUAAGGCGCGUGGAAGAACUCUCUUUAAGGAACUCUGCAAAAUAGCACCGUAUCUUCGGUAUAAGGUGUGGUUAGCUUUGUAUUAGGAUUUACUCCGAAAGCAAGGAAACUUACAACAAAGAGUCCCUCCCGACUGUUUACCAAAAACACAGCACUCUGCUAACUCGUAAGAGGAUGUAUAGGGUGUGACGCCUGCCCGGUGCUCGAAGGUUAAUUGAUGGGGUUAGCAUUAGCGAAGCUCUUGAUCGAAGCCCGAGUAAACGGCGGCCGUAACUAUAACGGUCCUAAGGUAGCGAAAUUCCUUGUCGGUUAAAUACCGACCUGCAUGAAUGGCGUAACGAGAUGGGAGCUGUCUCAAAGAGGGAUCCAGUGAAAUUGUAGUGGAGGUGAAAAUUCCUCCUACCCGCGGCAAGACGGAAAGACCCCGUGGACCUUUACUACAGCUUGACACUGCUACUUGGAUAAGAAUGUGCAGGAUAGGUGGGAGGCUUUGAGUAUAUGACGCCAGUUGUAUAUGAGCCAUUGUUGAGAUACCACUCUUUCUUAUUUGGGUAGCUAACCAGCUUGAGUUAUCCUCAAGUGGGACAAUGUCUGGUGGGUAGUUUGACUGGGGCGGUCGCCUCCCAAAUAAUAACGGAGGCUUACAAAGGUUGGCUCAGAACGGUUGGAAAUCGUUCGUAGAGUAUAAAGGUAUAAGCCAGCUUAACUGCAAGACAUACAAGUCAAGCAGAGACGAAAGUCGGUCUUAGUGAUCCGGUGGUUCUGUGUGGAAGGGCCAUCGCUCAAAGGAUAAAAGGUACCCCGGGGAUAACAGGCUGAUCUCCCCCAAGAGCUCACAUCGACGGGGAGGUUUGGCACCUCGAUGUCGGCUCAUCGCAUCCUGGGGCUGGAGCAGGUCCCAAGGGUAUGGCUGUUCGCCAUUUAAAGCGGUACGCGAGCUGGGUUCAGAACGUCGUGAGACAGUUCGGUCCCUAUCUGCCGUGGGCGUAAGAAGAUUGAAGAGAUUUGACCCUAGUACGAGAGGACCGGGUUGAACAAACCACUGGUGUAGCUGUUGUUCUGCCAAGAGCAUCGCAGCGUAGCUAAGUUUGGAAAGGAUAAACGCUGAAAGCAUCUAAGCGUGAAGCCAACUCUAAGAUGAAUCUUCUCUAAGCUCUCUAGAAGACUACUAGUUUGAUAGGCUGGGUGUGUAAUGGAUGAAAGUCCUUUAGCUGACCAGUACUAAUAGAGCGUUUGGCUUAUCUUUAAUAAAGCAU